rnacentral:rRNA from 1 species
CAGCCGCCACGGUAAUACGUAGGGUGCGAGCGUUAAUCGGAAUUACUGGGCGUAAAGCGUGCGCAGGCGGUUGUGUAAGACAGGUGUGGAAUCCCCGGGCUUAACCUGGGAACUGCAUUUGUGACUGGCAAGCUAGAGUGUGGCAGAGGGGGGUGGAAUUCCGCGUGUAGCAGUGAAAUGCGUAGAUAUGCGGAGGAACACCGAUGGCGAAGGCAGCCCCCUGGGCCAACACUGACGCUCAUGCACGAAAGCGUGGGGAGCAAACAGGAUUAGAUACCCGCGUAGUCCCUGUCUCUUAUAC